UAACCUUAAUACCCCGGUGAGGUGUGAAAGAAGUGUAAAAAUAAAUAAAUAUUUGUGGUAGAUAAAUAAACUACCAUGAUUCUGCAUAUCCACUGCCAAAUCCCCCAAUUCGGAGGGUUUAAUGUUUGGUUUCAUUGUAUUCACAGCCUACCGCUGCUGCUAGCUUAUCUCCGCAGUUCAAACCAGUAUUUUGUCAACAAGAUGGAGGUAUAUUUGGACCUCUCUUCCCAUUAUAACGGUCAAAUGUAAUCUGUCUGAUCCAUAUGAAGUGAGAUUUGCCAAUCUCGAUGAAUUUAUGGGUUUUGAGGAUAAGGUAUUUAUGCUUCCAGAUGAUUCUGCUAUACGAAGGCUUCAUCUUGUUUGGUACCGUAAAAUUCAUGAAAUCAACAGGGAAAUACAUAGUCGUCUUAAUACUUGGCUAAUGGGUUGUCUAAGGUGAAAUGUUCAAGAGAUAAGCCUGUGCAUGCAGUAUGAUUUGUUUGCAGAAGUUAAGUUUCCUUAGAGUCUUUUUACUUGUAAGACGUUGACAAUAUUAGAAUUAGAAUUAUAUGUGGGUGGGUCUGACGAGCCUGAUGUUAUUCUACGUGAUGUUAUUCACUUACCUUUGCUUAAAAUCAUGAAGCUUUCUCACCUUUGCAUUUCGGAUGAAAAGAAAACUGCUAAGCUAUUCGCUAAUUGUCCAGCUCUUGAAUCGUUAACCAUAUCAAGAUGUAACAUGAAUCUUAAUAAUGUUUAUGCUCCUAAGCUUAAAUGUUUCAUAUAUGAAAACAACGGUUACGAGUCAGAUGAAGUUGGUAUUAUCAGGUUAUGUGCUCCAAACCUCACAUCCUUAGGUUUUAGAAGUUGCCUAACACAUAAGCUUGACUAUUCAGCUCUAAAUAUCAAUUCUCCUCUAGUCACUCCCAAAAUAACAAUGGGGGUUGAAGAAGAUGAAGAAAUAGAAGACUCUGCAGAUGAAGCAUAUAGAGACCAACCUACAGAGGAGAAAGAAUUAUAUGCUCAAAAACAUGUUGAAAUUGCUACCACUUUCUACUGUGAAAAAUCUGACAUUGUCACGUUGGCUCAUUAAGGUUGUCUCUGAAGCUCCUAACUUAGUAGAUUAUGAGUCCCUGCAAUUAUCCAGCGUACAAAGUUUAACACUGCGGCCAUUUCUUUCAAAAGACUGCUUUCGUACAAUAACAUACUUGCUCAACAUUUCUCCUAAUUUAGAAUCUCUGGAAGUGAUAAUAAAUAAGAGUCCCUUUAACGAUGAGCCAGAGUUGUAUCCAUUCUGUGACGAGAUAAAUAUUGACUCGCCAGAUACAGGUGACGACUGGGAAACAGGAUUAUCAUUACCAUGUAUGUUGCAUCACCUCAAAGUUGUUGAGAUUUGUAAUGUCGAAGGACGUUGAACUUAAGUUCUUGGAAAUUUUGUUGAGGUACACAAUGGUCUUAGAGAAAGUAGUUCUCUACUGUUAUUGGGAAAGUCCUGGUAAUAUGUCACGACGGUUUCACACUUUUUGUGAGAAGCUAAUAGCAUUUCCAAGAGCGUCUUCAAGUGUUCCAUUCAUGUGCUUCUAGAGUAUUAUUUAGUGAUGUUAUGUUCUCACUUUUUCCUUUGUUCUAAAAGCAGGAAUGUGACGGUUCAGUAUGCAAUAUGUAUGCAUCUAGUAGAAUUCAUUUUCAUGAAUAUGGGGUUUAUUCAUCUUUCCAUGUGUGCCUUUUAUGUGCUAUGCAACCUUACUACUACUAUUCUUCAGCUCACAGUCCGGGUGUUUGGAAUCUUUACUCACAAAUUUGCCGCAUACUGUAUUAUUUGUCUUCUGUUG